AAAAUCCUCCAUGCUCCUCUGAGGGCCAGCUCCAUUGGGGACAAUAUCUUUUGGGGGCAACAGAGUGGCUGACAAAGGGUACUGUGAGAAUCCCAUUCUGAGGACAGGGGACUAAAAGACUCAUAAAGGUGUUGAUUUUGAGGUACACACCCUGAAACUACUACUAUAGUACCUCUCACCUUCUCAGCUGUGCUUCUUGGUAAGGCCAGGGCAGAGAGACCACAGGCACUGAAGGGACACAGUAGGGGUGAGCAAGUGCCUGUCUCCUCUUCCCUUUGUGAACAGUGCUCUGUGUCGGGAGUGUGGUGAUGGUGGUGGUGGUGGUGGUGGGGACAUUCACUGUGAAAUAUAGCAGAAAUGAGGCCUUCUGUCCUUUGAUGUCUGCAGAGGAGACUGGAAGGUGUCACUUCAAAGGAAUGCUUGUGGGAGCAAGCCAGCAGCUCACCUUGAGGCCCCAGACCCUGCCUUUGUUCUGAGGCAGUCACCUGAGAAACGACAACCAAAGCUUAUCUGCACGGAGUGGGGGUGGGAGGAGGAGGUGGGAGAGAGUGGGAGCGGUGUUGUACAGCACAGUCACACACACACACACACACACACACACACACACACACACACACACACACCACUCGCAUGUGGUGCAUGCACAAUAGACUGAUGUUCUUAGGCUUUGGGAAGGACUAUCUCCAGCAGCUGGAAGCCCCUGCCAUAUUUUCAACAGGCCCCCCACCCCACCCCGCAGCCGCCCUCGCCCUCAAAACAACGUUUCUUUCCCCCUGAAGGAGCAGCUGAGGCUUUGCUUUCUCUGGAGGCCACCAGGCACAAUCAGUUGCUAUAGAGUAAGGCAGACACAGGUGCCAACACAGCGGCGCUUGGUAGGCUUGCCUGCACCUGCUGGACCAGAGGGUGAGAAACCCUUCAGAACCAAGCAGGCAAAUGGACUUCUGGCAUUCACGAAGGGUGGCAUCAGGCCAGCAUCUCUGAAGUGUUAAAGUCAAUUUAACUGCAGAGGCUGGGAUGUUUAAACCAUUUUGACAAACACAGAUGUAGUAGGUGGUUAAUAGAGCUUAGAGCUGUUGCUAUUUCCUCCCUGGGACAUCACUCUGGGGAACAGUCAGAUAUCAGAGGUACAGCCAGGGGCUGAUGGAGGGUCUGGGGUAUGGUGUCAGUGGCAGAAAGACAUUUCUCACUACCCUGGAGGCUGAAUGUUCACGGUCUGGCCUGGCUCUGUGUCUGGUUCCUGGUGAGAGCUCUUCCUUGCUUUUGCCUGGGUCUGUACAAGAAGUUUUCUGAUUCCUUCUGAUAGGGACAGUCAACUGUCUGGGUCAGACAGUUAGCAUUUCAUUUUACCUUAAUUGGCCCCCUAAGGUCCCAGGGUUGGGGUUUCAAUGCCUGAAUUUAAGUGGGAGCAUCCAGUCCACAAGGCUUUUACUCUGUGAACUUGAAUAGAACAUGUGUGUUUCCUCUAGUUUCUUAACUUGAAUACACCCGGCUCUGAGCUCAGGACAUUUUACAAAGACUUGCUAACCCCGUUGUCCCUAAACAUCUCUCUAGCUCCGGGAAUCCUGCAUGAAUUCUAGCAAGAGAGGCUCCUCAAGACCUACAGAGAGGGCUCAGCAGUAAAGAGCACUUGCUGCUCUUCCAGAAGACCUGGCUUCCAUUCCCAGUGACCACAUGGUGGGUCACAGCAGUCUGGAAGUCUAGUCUGAGGUGAUCUAGUGCCCUCUUCUGGCCUUUUCAGGAACUACGUGAGCAUGAUGCAAAGCACCCAGACACAUAUAACAAAUAAAAUGAAAUAAAGAAAUAAGAGAGUGCCCUUGAUAGGGGAAUGGGGGCCGCAGAUUCGGUGGCUAAGAACCAGGCCUAUGAAUGUAGACUCCCAUGUUACAUGGACACAAGACUUUGUCCUACAGUUCCCUCACGGCUGCAAGCUGCCCCUCCCACCAGCUCUGGUGUCUCUUCCAGAGAGCUCAUACCAAAAUCAUGCUCUGGAGUCUAGCCACCUUCCCUGAACCAUUACCAUGCCUUCCCUUCACAGAUCCUGUGGCACUUUCUCCAUCUAGACCUGGGGCUCCAAAGCCUGGCUUUCUUUCAAGGUAGGGUGAAGCCUGGAGAUGUUCAAAGCAGACGCUUCUUAGCAUCCAUUCUCGUAAUUAUGAUCCUGGGGAAGAUAAUAGAUGCAUGGUGUCAGGAUGACAUGGGGAAGCGCCAGCAUCUUCAAUCAAAAUCAACAGGCAUUUGUGCUUCCUGGGCAAAUGCCACAUGCCCACUCUUGAGUGGGACAAGAAAGACAGAGAAGGCUUACAAGUACCAGUGGUUCCUGAAAAGGAGAGAAUAGGCUAAUUAGGAGCCCAUGUCUGCCCACCAUCCUGGCUUUGCUUGAGGUGACUGCAAUAGUACCCUGCCACCUUCCCAUAGGCUAGUGUUUUCUAAACUUAAAAGGAGAAUUACAUCAGCAGCUUAAGCAGGAGGACACAGUGCUCUGGUACUUUAAAAGAUGAUGGAGAAGCUGCUGUGGCCGGUGGGUCUCAGCUUACCUGCCCUGUGCUUCUUCAAAGAGCCCCUCUCACUUGCCAGCGACACUUAGCUGUGGUAGGUAUCCACAGGGGUUCUGGGGUCUGCGGUGUGAGCAAUGGGACUGUGGGGUUCUGGUCUGAAGCCGGCAGCCCCUCUUGUUGUAUAUUAUGGUCUAGUGUCCCUCUCCCCUGAAGAGAUCCAGGCUGGAGCCUCGAGGAUGACAGCAUAGAGAAGUCAUUUGUCCUUCCUCAGGGGUCAGCAAGCAAAGCUGACUUUCCCAUUGGGCUCUUUUGACUAGGAGGACCUGGGGAUUUUGAAUAAUUUAGGGACUAUCUUCCUGUCUGAAGAACACGUAAGGACCCAAGCAAUGAAUGUUGGCAAUACGAAUAAGGAGCUGAUGUCAUCAAUUCCAUCCUCCCAGGAUGUCCUUAUCUGACCUGCCAUGGAAGCUCCUGGGGGCUCUAACUGUCGUCCUCCAGAGUCCCUCCAAGGCCCUCCCACUCCCUGAAGACUCUGCCUUUGGCCCAGCUGUGAAUUCAGAGUUUCUCCCUUCCAGAAGAUUCCCUCCUUCAGUCCUUCCUCCUUCACUGUUCCCUUCCCUCCGCCCUUCUGUUCUUGUCCUCCUGCACUCUGUCAACCUGUUUUUAGGAGAGGGUCCCUCCUGAUGAGGGUCUUGAUUCACAGCUGUCCUUGCUCCUAGGGCUGUUUCCAUGGAAACCAGAAGCAAAGAGGUCAUUCAAAGGAAAACCCAAGAGCAGACAUCUGUGGAAACAGCCCCCAUCCCUCGGCAGUUUAACAAGCGGGCUGCACCAGCAAGAGACUGUGCUCUUCCCGAGCUAGGCUGCAGCUGAAAUAAUCAAACUCCAGAGGACAGCAUGGGGGAGAUUUGCAGGGAUGGUGUGGGGUGGGGCUAGGGUUGGGGGAGGUGGGAAGAGUCCUCAGCAACCAGUGCAACCCGGAUGCAUGUUACAUUGUUUUUCAUUAGAGCCCUUUCCCAUAUCCUGUCUGCACUAAGUUCUCCAGCUUUAGCCUUGUUAUUUGUCCUUCUGGUGAGAAAGAAGCCGGAGUGUUAGAGCCCAGGAAACAGAACUCCAAAGACCAAAGUUAUGAGAGGCUGGGGGGGGGGGGUUGUCUUACACUCGCCCACACUCCCAAAGCUCAAGUCCCUCUGACCUUGUGCUUUUUAUUAUCUAUUCAAGUGGCAGAAUAGACUUGUCACAUGCCUUGUCCUCUUCUGGUCCCACAGAGAAUCAUUUACAAACCACUGUCUACUUUAUGACCCGUGAGACUCUGUCCUAGGCUGUUGUAUAUGCUCAACGCUCAUUAGGUUCCCCCUAAAAGUCACAUAUGAGUCAUCUCAAAAUUGUCUACACUCUCUCCUCCCCAACAGGAGUGGGGUGUGCCUUUUUUUGCACCCCACUGAGCUGGUGGGUGGCCACGCACUUGUGACUUUCUGUGUUCUGGUUUUUCCGUGUUUGCACAUUCACAGAUCUGUAUGCUUUUUCUCCGG
rnacentral:lncRNA from 1 species